rnacentral:rRNA from 1 species
AGCUCCAAUAGCGUAUAUUAAAGUUGUUGCGGUUAAAAAGCUCGUAGUUGGAUCUCGGCGGGCAGGGGGUGGUUCGCUCUUCAGCGCUACUGCCCCGCUUUGCCCGUGUGAUUGGCGGAGGGUUCGGGGUGCUCUUCGUUGAGUGACUCGGAGCGCCGUCAGGUUUUCUUUGAAAAAAUUAGAGUGCUCAAAGCAGGCUUUUCACGCUUGAAUAUUCGUGCAUGGAAUAAUGGAAUUUUGUUGGUUUUCGGAAAUCGAGUUAAUGAUUAACAGGGACAAUUGGGGGCAUUAGUAUUCAGACGACAGAGGUGAAAUUCUUGGACCGUCUGAAGACUGACUACUGCGAAAGCAUUUGCCAAGAGUGUUUUCA